rnacentral:rRNA from 1 species
UACAUGUGGGGCAAGCGUUGUUCGGAAUUACUGGGCAUAAAGGGUGCGUAGGCGGGUCUUUAAGUCAGGGGUGAAAUCCUGGAGCUCAACUCCAGAACUGCCUUUGAUACUGAAGAUCUUGAGUUCGGGAGAGGUGAGUGGAACUGCGAGUGUAGAGGUGAAAUUCGUAGAUAUUCGCAAGAACACCAGUGGCGAAGGCGGCUCACUGGCCCGAUACUGACGCUGAGGCACGAAAGCGUGGGGAGCAAACAGG